rnacentral:rRNA from 1 species
AGAGUUUGAUCCUGGCUCAGAUUGAACGCUGGCGGCAGGCCUAACACAUGCAAGUCGAGCGGUAACAGAUCCAGCUUGCUGGAUGCUGACGAGCGGCGGACGGGUGAGUAAUGCAUAGGAAUUUACCCGAUAGUGGGGGAUAACCUGGGGAAACUCAGGCUAAUACCGCAUACGUCCUACGGGAGAAAGGGGGCUCCGGCUCCCGCUAUCGGAUGAGCCUAUGCCGGAUUAGCUAGUUGGUGAGGUAAUGGCUCACCAAGGCGACGAUCCGUAGCUGGUCUGAGAGGAUGAUCAGCCACAUCGGGACUGAGACACGGCCCGAACUCCUACGGGAGGCAGCAGUGGGGAAUAUUGGACAAUGGGGGCAACCCUGAUCCAGCCAUGCCGCGUGUGUGAAGAAGGCCCUCGGGUUGUAAAGCACUUUCAGUGAGGAAGAACGCCUGAUGGUUAAUACCCGUCAGGAAAGACAUCACUCACAGAAGAAGCACCGGCUAACUCCGUGCCAGCAGCCGCGGUAAUACGGAGGGUGCAAGCGUUAAUCGGAAUUACUGGGCGUAAAGCGCGCGUAGGUGGCUUGAUAAGCCGGUUGUGAAAGCCCCGGGCUCAACCUGGGAACGGCAUCCGGAACUGUCAGGCUAGAGUGCAGGAGAGGAAGGUAGAAUUCCCGGUGUAGCGGUGAAAUGCGUAGAGAUCGGGAGGAAUACCAGUGGCGAAGGCGGCCUUCUGGACUGACACUGACACUGAGGUGCGAAAGCGUGGGUAGCAAACAGGAUUAGAUACCCUGGUAGUCCACGCCGUAAACGAUGUCGACCAGCCGUUGG